rnacentral:rRNA from 1 species
UACCAGCACCCCGAGUGGUCGGGACGAUUAUUGGGCCUAGAGCAUCCGUAGCCGGUUCUACAAGUCUUCCGUUAAAUCCACCUGCUCAACAGAUGGGCUGCGGAGGAUACUAUAGAGCUAGGAGGCGGGAGAGGCAAGCGGUACUUAGUGGGUAGGGGUAAAAUCCGUUGAUCCAUUGAAGACCACCAGUGGCGAAGGCGGCUUGCCAGAACGCACUCGACGGUGAGGGAUGAAAGCUGGGGGAGCAAACCGG